rnacentral:sRNA from 1 species
UUUUUUUCCAAGCUGGAAGUACCAGCUCACAUCUAGAACGCAAGCCGAGACAGGAGGAUUGCCAAGAAUUAGAGAGGCCUUGCCUGGACUAGGUUGUGAGUUACUGGGUGAUUGGAUCUCAGAGUGAGACCCGACCCCUUACAGCUUGUACGGCCUCUCUAUCCUCGGCUUACUUCUGCACCCCUGUUUCUCCAGUGUCUCUGUGUGGGGUCUUCCCACCUAGGUCCCUUUUAGCCUGGCCUGGAAGUCUGCAGCCUAGGAGUGGCUGGAGAAAAGUUGGGGAUGCCGCCAAGAGGUCUGUUUGUAGUUCAGAUUCCUCUCAUUCCAGACUCAGCAGGCUCUCGAAAGGAAGGACUGGGAUUGGGAGGAGGAUCCUUGGUGCACCAGCUGUGGGGGGAAGAGGGGGGUUCAUUCUCUGCAGCUGACCCCCAACCACAAGUAAGAGGACCCUAGGACCUGCAUGUACUGACUGCAGCCCUUCGUUCCCCAGCAGCCUUCACUUCCAGGCCCCUCCCAACAUGGGGGCUGUAGUCAUGGCUGAAUUCCUUGCAUCUUUUCGAGUUCCUCUUUCUCCUGGGCACGGUAGGGAGAGCAUUUAGAUAGAGACUGAGUAAGGAGGAAUUGCCUGGAGAGUGUUGCUGGUUCAGCCUCAGCUUCAAAGAAGCCACCAGUCCCCCCCCCCCCCAACUGAAGUCUGCAAAGUUUUACUUUAACCCAGCAAUGGAUUUGUUAUUCUAUCCUGCAACCCCUAGACCAAAGAAUUUCUCAAGGGUUAUCUGGGGUGACCUUACCCUGGGGGAAGGCAACCUGAAACCCCCAAGCCUCCCUUCCCAGUGACUUCAGGGUUUAGAAAUCCCUGUACCUGCACCUCUCCCUGGGAAACACCCCUCUCAGGGUUUCUUCCUGACCCAGGCAGUGGAGGGAAAACAAACAUUGCCGGCAAGGGUUGGGUGUCCAUCAAAUGAAGUGACCACUUUGUCUGACCUUCUCAACCCUUUGAGGAAGAAGAUUAAUGUCGCCUUUUGUCACUGAGUGACCUAUGCCAGGAAGGACCACGUUGGCCAUUGAGUUUAGGCUCAGUUGUUGAGCUUCAGGAGUCUGAAGAGGGAGCCUGGGGGCAUUGAGGGACUUGGAGAGGCUGUGAAGACUCCAUUGGAGUUGCAGGGUAGUGAAGCUGGCAGCCUCUGUUCCCUUCAGAGCCCUCACCUGUUCCCUUUGAUGUCCUCUACAAAGGAUGACUGUCACCCCCUCGGCUGGAAGUAUGGCAGAAAGCAGCACGUCUGUUUCCUGGUACUUACGGGCUGCCUACAGCUUUCAUGCUUUCUACACGGACACCGAGGACUCAUACUGCUUCCUGGGAUUACACGAUGAACCCUACAAAAAAUACUGGCGAGACGAAGAUGCUGCCUGGAAUCCAAGCAUCUGGGGCUGGAUCCUCCCAUCAUGUCCCCUGAGAAGGUCCAGCUGGAGAGACAAGCUAACAUGAACAUCCCCUCAUGUUAGGACUCACUGUUCUUUCUACUCCUGAUGCUAAGGUUGGGCCUCUUUGAGACUUUAUAUCCACCGUAGAGCCUGAGCUAGAGAGUGUCUAAAGCCUUUAGGGGGCUAAGGCUGUGAUGAGAGAAGACAGGGUGUAGGGGGUUGGGAGAAGUGACUGAGAAAGAGAGGGGAGAGAGGGUAAUAGCUUUGUGUUCCCACUGGAACGCAGCAUCCUCCAUAAUUCACACUGAACUUCAGCAUGAAGAAUCUACAAGGGGCUGGGGAUUUAGCUCAGUGGUAGAGUGCUUACCUAGGAAGCGCAAGGCCCUGGGUUCGGUCCCCAGCUCCGGAAAAAAAAGAACCAAAAAAAAAAGAAUCUACAAAACUAUUUUUGGUGCAUGUGUUACGUGGUGGGUAUGUGUGUAAGUGUCCGGAAGUGAGCCUUCUUCAAAUCAGUGUCUAUGCAGCAUGCAUGCACAAUAAAGCCAGAGGCGGACCAGCAGGGCAUUCCUCCAUAGCUCUCUACCCUCGUUUAUGUACUUAAAAAGUUUUAUGGGCUCAGCAGGCAAAUGCAUCUGCUGUCAAACAUCACAUCCUGAAUUCCAUCCCGAAGACCACAUGGAGGGAGAGACAAACUCCUGCAAGUUGUCCUCUGACCUACACAGGCUUGCUGCCUGCUGUGGUGUUACUUAGCAAUUUCCUCCUAGAGAAAACAUGCCACCCUGCAGGGAAGCCCUUCAAAACUAAGGAAGUAAACAACUCAAAAGCAUUAGGAAGUCCCUGAAACUGACCAGAUUCACUAGGCUCUUAUCUCUCCAAGGUUAUAUAAACGAUAAAGUCUUCUGAGAGAGACACUGAGAACAGAUGAGCUGUCUGGAGGAGACUCCAGCCGUCUAAGCUGCCUGCAAAAUUGUGCAGUGAGCACUAUGCUUCCAGGUUCUGUGCUCAUCAUCCAUGCUGGGAUAAGCUUUUGGUGAUGCAGCCAUCUUUGAGUGAUUUCUGCUACUCCACCCAUACUCCGCAUGUAGUCACAAUAAAACUCAUUGGCUUACCAA